GAAGAUAUGUUCAUGUUGCAGGUUCAACUAAGCUGGCUGGCCAAUGAGAUCCAGGGACAUACCUGUCCUCAUCUCUCCAGCACUGUGAUUACAGAUGCAUACUCCUGCAGCUGACUUUUUAUAUUUUUUUCAUCAUACCUGGAUGGCCAAUGGGCUUCAAGGAUCCACCUGUCUUUGCCCUCCUCCAAAGCUGGGGUUUCAUUAUUUUUUACCUGUGUUCUGG